rnacentral:rRNA from 1 species
CCAAUAGCGUAUAUUAAAGUUGUUGCAGUUAAAAAGCUCGUAGUUGAAUUUCGGGAUCAGUACGCUGGUCGUGCCUCGUGUAUGUACUGGUGUUACUGGUUCCUACCUUCUGACGAACCGUCAUGUCAUUAAUUUGGUGUGGCGGGGAAUCAGGACUGUUACUUUGAAAAAAUUAGAGUGUUUAAAGCAGGCUCGCGCUUGAAUACAUUAGCAUGGAAUAAUGAAAUAGGACGUUCGAUCCUAUUUUGUUGGUUUCUAGGAUUGACGUAAUGAUUAAUAGGGAUAGUUGGGGGCAUUAGUAUUCAAUUGUCAGAGGUGAAAUUCUUGGAUUUAUUGAAGACUAACUACUGCGAAAGCAUUUGCCAAGGAUGUUUUCAUUAAUCAAGAACGAAAGUUAGGGGAUCGAAGACGAUCAGAUACCGUCGUAGUCUUAACCAUAAACUAUGCCGACUAGGGAUCGGAUGAUGUUAAUUUUUUAAUGACUCA